CCAUUCUUGCUCCCUCCCAGGUCACAAAAAUGGAAGAAAAAGAAAAAUUGCCUUAAGAAAGAUGUAAUGGUGACCUAAUCAACCAUGGCAAAAAAAUAGAAUUUUAUGGCCAACUUGUGUGAUUAAGGAGUAUUUGAUGAGUUUCUUUUCCUAUCCGUCCUUUGAUUAUGGUUAUAGGACAAGAGCAUUACAAUAGAUUAAGGCCACCGAGCUACCGAGGGAGCGAGUAUGUUUUUGUCCUAGCAUUCUUCUUGGUUAGUCGUGCGAGCUAUAAGAACAUACUUAAAAAGUGGAUUCCUGAGCUUCAGCAUUAUGCUCCUGCAAUUCCGGUGGUAUUAGCUGGCACAAAACUUGUUCAUCUUUUAUAGGUUGAAAAAUAAAAAGCAACUUUCAAGCUAAAUAUGCAGCUCCGGUGUUUCAAGACUCUAGCUCUUUCUAGCUUUGAAGCCAAAUUGCAUUGGCAUAAAAGAUACAUCUUUGCGACUCACUAUACGGUGCGAAUCAUUUAGG